GGGGGCGAAAGACUAAUCGA
rnacentral:misc_RNA from 1 species